GCUCCUGUCGUCUAGGACGGUUAAAUUAGUUUAAUAGACUAAGACUUUGGACAUCGGAUUUUCGAUCCGAUAACCCGGGUUCAAAUCCCGGCGGGAGCA
rnacentral:tRNA from 1 species